rnacentral:rRNA from 1 species
AUUGAACGCUGGCGGCAGGCCUAACACAUGCAAGUCGAGCGAGCGGCGGACGGGUGUGGAAUGUAUGGGGACUGCCCGAUAUAGGGGGAUAUCUACUGGAAACGGUAUCUAAUACCGCAUACUAUCGGAUAACCCAUAUGGGAUUAGCGAGUCGGUGAGGUAAUGGCUCACCUAGGCGACGAUCCCUAGCUGGUCUGUGAGGAUGAUCGGCCACACUGGGACUGAGACACGGCCCAGACUCCUACGGAGGCAGCAGUGGGGAAUAUUGCACAAUGGGCGCAAGCCUGAUGCAGCCAUGCCGCGUGUAUGAAGAAGGCCGUAGGGUUGUAAAGUACUUUCAGUCGGGAGGCGUUACCGACAGAAGAAGCACCGGCUAACUCCGUGCCAGCAGCCGCGGUAAUAC